GUGAACAACUAAGGGCGCGCGGUGGAUGCCUAGGCUCUCGGAGGCGAUGAAGGACGCGAUAAGCCGCGAUAGGCCACGGCGAGGUGCAAGUAACCCUUGACCCGUGGAUUUCCGAAUGGGGCAACCCGGCUGGAUAGAUUCCAGUCAUGCAGUAAUGCAAGCGAACGCGGGGAACUGAAACAUCUCAUUACCCGCAGGAGAAGAAAACAAAAUGUGAUUCCCCCAGUAGUGGCGAGCGAACGGGGAAGAGCCCAAACCGCUGCCGUUUCGGCGACAGCGGGGUCAUGGGACCGCGAUACUCGACGAUGGACGAAGUGCAAUUACCUGGAAAGGUAAGCCGUGGAGGGUGAUAGCCCCGUGCACGACACCUCCAUCGAAGAUAGCGGUAUCCCGAGUAGGGCGGGACACGAGAAAUCCUGCCUGAAUUCGCCAGGACCUCCUGGCAAGGCUAAAUACUCCCGAGAGACCGAUAGUGAACCAGUACCGCGAGGGAAAGGUGAAAAGUACCCCGAGCAGGGGGGUGAAAUAGACCCUGAACCCGCGCGCCUACAAGCGGUCGGAGCCAUGAAAUAUGGUGACGGCGUGCCUUUUGCAUAAUGAGCCUACGAGUUAGUCGUCACCAGCGAGGUUAAGGGCUUCAGGCCCGUUAGCCGAAGUGAAAGCGAGCCUUAACAGGGCGUCGAGUUGGUGGCGCUAGACGCGAAACCUUGUGAUCUACCCACGAGCAGGUUGAAGUCGCGGUAACACGUGAUGGAGGACCGAACCGGUAAACGUUGAAAAGUUUUCGGAUGACUCGCGGGUAGGGGUGAAAGGCCAAUCAAACUGGGAAAUAGCUCGUACUCUCCGAAAUGCAUUUCGGUGCAGCCUGUGAUGUUCUGUUCCAGAGGUAGAGCUACUGGUUGGACGCGAGGGCUUCACCGCCUAUCAAAUCCGGAUAAACUCCGAAUGCUGGAACACGAAAUCAUGGAGUGAGCCCGCGGGUGCUAAGGUCCGCGGACGAGAGGGAAAGAACCCGGACCACCGGCUAAGGUCCCGGAUGGACAGUUAAGUUGAUCAAACGAGGUGGGAUCGCGGAGACAGCUAGGAUGUUGGCUUGGAAGCAGCCAUUCAUUUAAAGAGUGCGUAACAGCUCACUAGUCGAGCGAUCCCGCGUGGAUAAUACACGGGCAUCAAACUGUCAACCGAAGCCGUGGGGUUAGUGAUGAGCUAACCGGUAGGAGAGCAUUCCUGCCAGCUUUGAAGGUCACCCGCGAGAGUGACUGGAGCGGCAUGAAAAGCAAAUGUAGGCAUAAGUAACGAUAAUGGGGGCGAGAACCCCCCACGCCGCAAGACCAAGGAUUCCCCGGCAAUGUCAAUCAGCCGGGGGUCAGCCGGCCUCUAAGGCUCACCCGAGGGGGGAUGCCGACGAGAAACGGGUUAACAUUCCCGUGCUUCUCGUCACCGUGACGCGGUGACGGGGUGAUGAAUGGACCGCGCGCUGACGGAAUAGCGCGUUGAAGGCCGUACCCUAUGACGGUGGUAGUCAAGCACGCCACCCGAGGCGAAAGUCGAUAGUACCUCGAGGCCUCGGCCGAGGGGAUAGCGUCCAGGCAAUUUACCCCCUAGAAAACCCGCUAAACUUCAAGUGACGAGGAACCGUACUGUAAACGGACACACGUGGUCGGGUAGAACAUACCAAGGCGCUCGAGUGAUUCAUGGUCAAGGAACUAGGCAAAAUAGUCCUGUAACUUAGGGAUAAAGGACGCUCUAGUGAUAGAGCCGCAGAGUAAUGGCCCAGGCGACUGUUUACCAAAAACACAUGGCUAUGCCAAAUCGAAAGAUGACGUAUAUGGCCUGACACCUGCCCGGUGCCGGAAGGUUAAGAGGAGAGCUCAUCGGAAACGAGAAGGUUUGAAUUGAAGCCCCGGUAAACGGCGGCCGUAACUAUAACGGUCCUAAGGUAGCGAAAUUCCUUGUCGGGU
rnacentral:rRNA from 1 species